UACGGGGGGAGCGAGCGUUAUUCGGAUUUAUUGGGCGUAAAGGGUUCGUAGGCGGUCAGGUAAGUCAGUGGUGAAAUCUAUCGGCUCAACCGAUAAAUUGCCUUUGAAACUGCCUGACUUGAGUACGAGAUAGGAAAGCGGAAUUCUAGGUGUAGCGGUGAAAUGCGUGGAUAUCUAGAGGAACACCAGUGGCGAAAGCGGCUUUCUGGCUCGAUACUGACGCUGAGGAACGAAAGCCAGGGGAGCGAACGGGAUUAGAUACCCCCGUA
rnacentral:rRNA from 1 species